rnacentral:rRNA from 1 species
CUCUAGUGGCGGACGGGUGAGUAACACGUGAGAAUUUACCUUUAGGAGGGGGAUAACAAUUGGAAACGAAUGCUAAUACCCCAUAUGCUUCAGAGUGAAAUGGAUUUAUAUUUAUCCGCCUAAAGAGAAGCUCGCGGCUGAUUAGCUUGUUGGUAAGGUAAGAGCUUACCAAGGCGACGAUCAGUAUCUGGUUUGAGAGGACGAUCAGACACACUGGAACUGAGACACGGUCCAGACUCCUACGGGAGGCAGCAGUGGGGAAUUUUCCGCAAUGGGCGAGAGCCUGACGGGGCAAUACCGCGUGAGGGAAGACUGCCUAUGGGUUGUAAACCUCUUUUUUCAGGGAGGAAUAAAAUGACGUGUACCUGAAGAAUAAGCAUCGGCUAACUCCGUGCCAGCAGCCGCGGUAAG